AUUGGACGCUGGCGGCAGGCCUAACACGUGCAAGUCGAGCGGAUGAAGGGAGCUUGCUCCUGGAUUCAGCGGCGGACGGGUGAGUAAUGCCUAGGAAUCUGCCUGGCUGUGGGGUAUAACGUCCGGAAACGGGCGCUAAUACCGCAUACUUCCUGAGGGAGAAAGUGGGGGAUCUUUGGACCUCACGCUAUCAGAUGAGCCUAGGUCGGAUUAGCUAGUUGGUGGGGUAAAGGCCUACCAAGGCGACGAUCCGUAACUGGUCUGAGAGGAUGAUCAGUCACACUGGAACUGAGACACGGUCCAGGCUCCUAAGGGAGGCAGCAGUGGGGAAUAUUGGACAAUGGGCGAAAGCAUUAUCCAGCCAUGCCGCGUGUGUGGAGAAGGUGUUCGGAUUGUAAAGCACUUUAAGGUGGGAGAAAGGGCAGUAAGUUAAUACCUUGCUGUUUUGACGUUACCAACAGAAUAAGCACCGGCUAACUACGUG
rnacentral:rRNA from 1 species